ACGGGUGCGUAACGCGUAUGCAAUCUACCUUUUGCAGAGGGAUAGCCCAGAGAAAUUUGGAUUAAUACCUCAUAGUAUAGUACUUUGGCAUCAAGGAACUAUUAAAGUCACAACGGCAAAAAGAUGAGCAUGCGUCCCAUUAGCUAGUUGGUAAGGUAACGGCUUACCAAGGCUACGAUGGGUAGGGGUCCUGAGAGGGAGAUCCCCCACACUGGUACUGAGACACGGACCAGACUCCUACGGGAGGCAGCAGUGAGGAAUAUUGGACAAUGGGCGCAAGCCUGAUCCAGCCAUGCCGCGUGCAGGAUGACGGUCCUAUGGAUUGUAAACUGCUUUAUACAGGAAGAAACACUCCGACGUGUCGGAGCUUGACGGUACUGUAAGAAUAAGGAUCGGCUAACUCCGUG
rnacentral:rRNA from 1 species